rnacentral:rRNA from 1 species
UGCAGUCGAGCGGACAGAUGGGAGCUUGCUCCCUGAUGUUAGCGGCGGACGGGUGAGUAACACGUGGGUAACCUGCCUGUAAGACUGGGAUAACUCCGGGAAACCGGGGCUAAUACCGGAUGCUUGAUUGAACCGCAUGGUUCAAUUAUAAAAGGUGGCUUUUAGCUACCACUUACAGAUGGACCCGCGGCGCAUUAGCUAGUUGGUGAGGUAACGGCUCACCAAGGCAACGAUGCGUAGCCGACCUGAGAGGGUGAUCGGCCACACUGGGACUGAGACACGGCCCAGACUCCUACGGGAGGCAGCAGUAGGGAAUCUUCCGCAAUGGACGAAAGUCUGACGGAGCAACGCCGCGUGAGUGAUGAAGGUUUUCGGAUCGUAAAACUCUGUUGUUAGGGAAGAACAAGUACCGUUCGAAUAGGGCGGUACCUUGACGGUACCUAACCAGAAAGCCACGGCUAACUACGUGCCAGCAGCCGCGGUAAUACGUAGGUGGCAAGCGUUGUCCGGAAUUAUUGGGCGUAAAGCGCGCGCAGGCGGUUUCUUAAGUCUGAUGUGAAAGCCCCCGGCUCAACCGGGGAGGGUCAUUGGAAACUGGGGAACUUGAGUGCAGAAGAGGAGAGUGGAAUUCCACGUGUAGCGGUGAAAUGCGUAGAGAUGUGGAGGAACACCAGUGGCGAAGGCGACUCUCUGGUCUGUAACUGACGCUGAGGCGCGAAAGC